UCUGAUGGACUGAAGAAUCCACAAUGUACACUGGAGAUACUGAGGAUGUAUAACUGCAAUAUUACAGAUGAAGGUUGUGCUGCUCUGGCUUCAGCUCUGAGGUCAAACUCCUCAUCACACCUGAGAGAACUGUUACUGAACAAUAAUAAUCCAGGAAAAUCAGGAAUGAAGCUGCUCUCUGAUCUACUGAAGGAUCCACACUGUAAACUGGAGACACUACACAUUGAGGAUAAGACACUCACCAGGACUAGUUUAUGACAGGAGUCUCUCCUCAGACCUUUUUUCCAGGAUAAAGCAGUUAUGGUGGUGAAGCGUUAGAACACGUCCCACAUUUCCAGCAGUUUGGGAGCUGAAUCAUUCAUAUUCAGAUGUAGAAGAUCC